rnacentral:rRNA from 1 species
UGAAUACGAGAUGCUACGGCGUCGAAGCAGUCUAUGUCAUACUUCCAAGAAAAGCUUGCACUGUCAUAAACAAAUAAUGCCUGUACCAUAACCGACACAGGUGGGUAGGUAGAGUAUACUAAGGGGCGCGAGAUAACUCUCUCUAAGGAACUCGGCAAAAUGACUCCGUAACUUCGGGAGAAGGAGUGCCUUAUUUUAUAAGGUUGCAAUAACAAGAUCCAAGCAACUGUUUACCAAAAACACAGGUCUCCGCUAAGUCGUAAGACGAUGUAUGGGGGCUGACGCCUGCCCAGUGCCAGAAGGUUAAAGAAGUUGGUUAGCAUCCGCGAAGCUGAUAACUGAAGCCCUGGUGAACGGCGGCCGUAACAAUAACGGUCCUAAGGUAGCGAAAUUCCUUGUCGGGUAAGUUCCGACCCGCACGAAAGGCGUAAUGAUUUGGAUACUGUCUCAGAAAGGGGCUCGGUGAAAUAGACUUGUCUGUGAAGAUGCGGACUACCUGCACCAGGACAGAAAGACCCUAUGAAGCUUUACUGUAACUUGAAAUUGAAAUUGGACUUUACUUGCGCAGUAUAGGUGGGAGGCGUAGAUAAUAUUCUUGCGGGAAUGUUGGAGCCAUCAGUGAGAUACCACUCUUGUAAUGUUAGAUUUCUAACUUUGUAUCAUUAUCUGGUCAAAGGACAGUUUCAGGCGGGCAGUUUGACUGGGGCGGUCGCCUCCCAAACGGUAACGGAGGCGCACAAAGGUUUCCUCUGAACGGGUAGAAAUCGUAUCUAGAGUGUAAAGGCAUAAGGAAGCUUGACUGUGAGACCUACAAGUCGAGCAGGGACGAAAGUCGGUCUCAGUGAUCUGACGGUGCUGAGUGGAAAGGCCGUCACUCAACGGAUAAAAGUUACUCUAGGAUAACAGGCUGAUCUCCCCCAAGAGUUCACAUCGACGGGGAGGUUUGGCACCUCGAUGUCGGCUCAUCGCAUCCUGGGGCGGUAGUACGUCCCAAGGGUUGGGCUGUUCGCCCAUGAAAGCGGUACGCGAGCUGGGUUCAGAACGUCGUGAGACAGUUCGGUCCAUAUCCGGUGUAGGCGUUAGAAUAUUGAGAGGAGCCUUCUUUAGUACGAGAGGACCGAGAAGGACAUACCUCUGGUGUACCAGCUAUCGUGCCAACGGUAAACGCUGGGUAGCUAUGUAUGGAGUGGAUAACCGCUGAAAGCAUCUAAGUGGGAAGCCCACCUCAAGAUAAGUAUUCU